rnacentral:lncRNA from 1 species
UCGAUAUGUAUGAUUUACCUUGGAUUUAGUCAAUAUCUCUAAUGGUAACGAAUACCCCGCUACAACUGGGAAUUAUUAUUAUUUUUUUUUUGCUUUUCUUGAACCCCAAAACAAAUAUUUUUCUUGGACCCCUACACAAAUAUUUUCUUUCGUGCGGAUGAUCCCUGAUCACCGUAUUUGAACCCCGACAACUUCAUGUCACUCCUGCUGCCAAACAAUGAACCCCGUUCUCCAUUUGAACCCCAGUCGCCUGACGAUAAC